rnacentral:rRNA from 1 species
AGGUUAACGUCAGGGUCUAUGGAUAUUAACCAUAAACUUUUCCUCCCUACUGAAAGUGCUUUACAACCCGCAGGCCUUCUUCACACACGCGGCAUUGCUGGAUCAGGCUUGCGCCCAUUGUCCAAUAUUCCCC